AACAGAAAAAAAGAAAGAAGAAGAGAAAAUGCUAAGUAAGUAGACCUGCAAAAGGUAAAGAGGUGCGGUGAAGAAAGAAAAGGUGGGAAUAGAUUAACAUUAGGGACGAUUAAGUUGACGGCCAUUGCUUCCCGGGGAAGAAGAAGAUCGGAGACUUGAGAAACCGGUGGGUGGAUUUUGCUGAAGUUCUUGGGUUCUUCAACAAUGCCGCCGCC
rnacentral:lncRNA from 1 species